UGUAUGUUGUUUUACUCCAUGUGUAACUCUGUGUUUUUGUAUGUUGUCGAACUGCUUUGCUUUAUCUUGGCCAGGUCGCAAUUGUAAAUGAGAACUUGUUCUCAACUUGCCUACCUGGUUAAAUAAAGGUGAAAUAAAAAAAAAUUAAAAAAAAUAAAUUGUAUUAUGACUAGGUCUACUAAAUGGGGGAAAAAUUUUGUUUAGUCUGACAAAAAUACAAUUUCCUAGGCUUAAGUUUUCAUCAGUGUUGAAAAUAGAUGUAUCUUUAGAAUCUUCUAGACAGAUGUAUCAGUAGUGACUGAGCUGUAUAAAUUGUCACAAUGUGUAGAUUGGAACGUGAAACAACUAAUGCUUUUACUUUAUUUAAACUUUAUACCAGCAAGAAUUUGGACAGUGUUGACUUAGACCAUAUUCAGCACAAUUCACAAUGGUCAAACCUAUCUGUGAUUCUAACCAGGUUACAGGAUAGAGGAGAAAGAAGUGUGUCUUUUGAGAGAGACAAUCUACCUACUUGACCCAUUUAAGGCCUUUUUUUUUGCAUUUAUCUAUCAAAAUCAUUUUAGUUGGGAAAGGAAGGUAAGGGUAAGGUGAACUGGGCAAGAUGACCCUUGGCUUCCUUCAAAGUCCUUAUCACUUCUAUGGAUAUCAAGUUGUCUGUUAAGAAGACGUACCUUGUAAAGUCAUUACAGGAUUUGGACAGAAAAACCUAUGAGACAUUUUCAAGUGAUGAACGCCCCCAUUUUUAUUUUUGUUAAUUUUUCUUUGGAUGGACUUGAAUUGUGAAUUUUCCCCAUGGCAGUUGAUCCUUGGGAGAGAACAAAAGCUCAUCUACAGUAUAGGAGACAAAAUCAGUGAGAAAUGACAAUCAUCAUAAGUAAAAAAAAUAAAUAAAAAGACAAGCAGUCUGCCUUGUUUUUAUUUUUGGUUUGUUUUUCCCGAAGACGAUACUUCAGAAUUGUUCAAGUUUUACCACUGACGUUUUGGAAAUAAUCUGUUAAAGGGGGAACUGUCCUUGGUGAAGGGGCACUCCCACUGUGGUACAAGUGUAACUUUGUUUACCUUGGAUGCUGUAAUCGCUCACCUGCUGUGGAACAGAAAAGGUAAGUGACUCCUGAUCACUUUUUAAUGAGCCGUUUUAUUUCACACAGAGCAGUGAGUUUAGAACACAGAGGUAUGCAGUAGCUGCUGUUUUAUAAUGUGUUGUCUCCCUUUUUAGAGCUGGACAAAAAUACAUAACACGAUAAAUUGCCUGAAUUGAUGCGAGAACAAUACGUUUAUAACAAUAAUGUGCACCACAGUUAAAAAAAAUUAUCCUUUAAAUUACUUCUAACAGUUUGGUAGUUGUAGCCAUCAAUUGUCCUGUUAACAAUCAGUCAUAUUAGCAAACUUAUUUCAUUUCAAACUUCACAUUUCUCUAGUAUACACUACUUAUUGUAAUGAACCAUAUCAGCAAAAUGCCUGCGAUAAGGAAUCGGUAUGGUCAGUGUCGAUCAUUUCCGGUUUAUCGUCCCAGCUCUACUCCCUCUACAGGUAAACAAUCUGUAUUCAGCUUCCCCUGAGGUCGUUCAUCUGAGGAGUGCUGUGGUUCUGCUCCUACUGCUCACAAGAGAAGACCUCAAUACCUGGCCGGUUUGAGAGACAACAUUUAUAUAAAAACACACACACCCUUAAACAGAGUCUGAAAGUGCAGUUAUAUUCUAAGAUUGUGUUGUCUUCCACUACAGGUAAACAAUCCCAGUGACAUGAUUCAUGUAUGCAGCAUCUCCUGGCCAGCAAUACGGUUAUCUGAGUGCUCAUCUCAGCCUUGUGUCCACUGUUCACAAUAGAAUACCUCAAGACCUAAAAAAGAUGGAGUUUAGGGAAUGUGGUCCCAGGACAGAAGCAGUGGAUGAGCCCUCCUGACCAUUCAAACUCAGGCUCUGACAUAUCAGCAGUUUGUUGUAGUUGGAUAAAUGCACCAUCUCUACAACCCAUGGAUCCAGGACAGGGGCAGUAGAUACCACCAUCUCUACAACCCAUGGAUCCAGGACAGGGGCAGUAGAUACCACCAUCUCUACAACCCAUGGAUCCAGGACAGGGGCAGUAGAUACCACCAUCUCUACAACCCAUGGAUCCAGGACAGGGGCAGUAGAUACCACCAUCUCUACAACCCAUGGAUCCAGGACAGGGGAAGUAGAUACCACCAUCUCUACAACCCAUGGAUCCAGGACAGGGGAAGUAGAUACCACCAUCUCUACAACCCAUGGAUCCAGGACAGGGGCAGUAGAUACCACCAUCUCUACAACCCAUGGAUCCAGGACAGGGGCAGUAGAUACCACCAUCUCUACAACCCAUGGAUCCAGGACAGGGGCAGUAGAUACCACCAUCUCUACAACCCAUGGAUCCAGGACAGGGGCAGUAGAUACCACCAUCUCUACAACCCAUGGAUCCAGGACAGGGGCAGUAGAUACCACCAUCUCUACAACCCAUGGAUCCAGGACAGGGGCAGUAGAUACCACCAUCUCUACAACCCAUGGAUCCAGGACAGGGGCAGUAGAUACCACCAUCUCUACAACCCAUAGAUCCAGGACAGGGGCAGUAGAUACCACCAUCUCUACAACCCAUAGAUCCAGGACAGGGGUAGUAGAUACCACCAUCUCUACAACCCAUGGAUCCAGGACAGGGGUAGUAGAUACCACCAUCUCUACAACCCAUGGAUCCAGGACAGGGUAGUAGAUACCACCGCCUUUCAAACACCGGGGAUGACAUAUCUGCAGGUUAGUCGCUGUCAUUGUCAUAGCUUGUACUCUGUCUAGUGUACCAAUGGCUCAUUUCUACCACAACAGAAUGACGACUGAGAUUCCAACACACAGGGUUUCAAUGCUCUUGGACAACAGAAAAGCGUAGACCAUUGAGACAUGAUGAUGGUGUCUAAGAUGUACUGUGUGUUCUCUCUGACGUUGAACCAGAAGUGCACCAUCUGUUGCUCAUUCUGGGUAGUGUUGUAUGAUUAAGCUAUUCACACACGGAAAUACAAUCGUUUUUUAAACCUGUGUGACAGUCUCCUCUUGGUGUAGCGAUCUCUGUCUGUCUUUGUGUUGAUUAUUAUCUAGCAUGAUUAUGGAGCUAGCUGCCGUCUUAACAGCACAAAAAAACACCAUUACAACUGACUGUUCAUUUUUAUUCUCAGAGUCCCUCAUCCUUUUUGGGCCAGGAUAAGGAUCUUAGACCUUGUCCUUGGUGUGGUUUUGGACCAACUCUGUUUCUGUAAAGAAGACACCUUGUCUGCAUCAUCACAUGGCCACCAGAAAGCCAACUGACUGCCUCUGGCCUCCAUGCCUGUGUUUCUGUCCGCUUAGAGGACUGACUGACUGUUCUGAGACCUGUUGUCCCACAUUCCACUGAUUCAUUCCACAGCAGAACCAAGACGGAUUAGGAUGUUACAGGACAAAGAGAGACUGAUCUGUGAGUAGAGACUACAGCACCCACAAAGUAGAGACUACAGCACCCACAAAGCAUUGCGGCUUCCCUUACUGAGACUUGUAGGCCUACUUGCACUGCCUGCUUUUACUACUGUCUCAAGGUAAUUUUUUUCUGUGAGUUAAUGUUCUGUAAAUACUCCCAGGUUUGGUGUUUCAGAUGUUCAUGGUCUAUGUUACCAGUUUUACACUGUGUGGACUUGGGGGUUUUGUUCUCCAGGAAAUUGCAGCUUGUGGAAAAUAUCACACAAUUUACUGCUGACAAAUUUGACAUUUCUAUUUUUCUUUUAUGUUGGA